CCUACGGGUGGCAGCAGUGGGGAAUAUUGCGCAAUGGGCGAAAGCCUGACGCAGCGACGCCGCGUGAGGGAUGAAGGUCUUCGGAUCGUAAACCUCUGUCAGCAGGGAAGAACGGUCACGGUGCUAAGCAGCAGUGAAUUGACGGUACCUGCAAAGGAAGCACCGGCUAACUCCGUGCCAGCAGCCGCGGUAAUACGGAGGGUGGGAGCGUUAAUCGGAAUUCCUGGGCGUAAAGCGCUCGUAGGCGGUAUGUCCAGUCAAGGGUGAAAUCCCCGCGCUCAACGUGGGAACUGCCUUUGAAACUGGCAUCCUGGAGUGUGUGCGAGGCUAGUGGACUUCCAGUUGUCGGCGUGCAAUCCGUAGAUCUCUGGCGG
rnacentral:rRNA from 1 species